GGAUAUAACUUCUUCCCAGUAGUCCCGUUUGUAGUCUCAUCUUUAUGCUGUUUCUCCUUUUGUUCCUUAAGCUAUUUCUAAAUGUUCUUUUGGUAUUUAUGUUUCUUCUUACUUUUCCCUUUCUUAACAACUUCAGGCUUGCAUUAUAUUUCAUUGUAUGACUAUGUUAUAAUUUAACCAAGAUCCUUAAUGGAUGUCUUUUAUGUAUGUACUAUAUAAAAUAGGUCAUCACGUAUAUUAUGUACUUUUAAAAAUCUAUUUUCCUCCCAGUUAGAUAAAAAUUCUUUGAGUCCAGGAACUAUUUGAUUGAAUAUAUAUCAUCAUUAUCUUGCUUGAUUUUUGACACUCACUUAAAACAAUUCACCUCUACCCCUCUCCAGAAGUGUGCCCUAAUUACAGAAGAAGCCAGCUGAAAAUAAACACAUACCCUGAGUGCUUGAUCUUCUCUACUCUAUAUGGUUCCUGAUCUCUACUAGAUUAAAUAUAUCAUCAUGUAAAUGUCUUAUGAAUGUAGACCAUCUCAGGUUUUUUAUGAAAGUAUAAGGUCAUAGAAGGUCAAAGAGAGAAGGGAUGUUCA
rnacentral:lncRNA from 1 species